rnacentral:rRNA from 1 species
GACGUAGGGCGCGAGCGUUGUCCGGAUUUAUUGGGCGUAAAGCGCACGUAGGCGGAUUGCUAAGUCAGGGGUGAAAUCCUGGAGCUCAACUCCAGAACUGCCUUUGAUACUGGCGAUCUUGAGUCCGGGAGAGGUGAGUGGAACUGCGAGUGUAGAGGUGAAAUUCGUAGAUAUUCGCAAGAACACCAGUGGCGAAGGCGGGUCCCUGGGACGGUACUGACGCUGAGACGCGAAAGCGUGGGGAGCGAACAGG